rnacentral:rRNA from 1 species
AGUGAACGCUGGCGGUAGGCCUAACACAUGCAAGUCGAACGGCAGCACAGUAAGAGCUUGCUCUUACGGGUGGCGAGUGGCGGACGGGUGAGGAAUACAUCGGAAUCUACUUUUUCGUGGGGGAUAACGUAGGGAAACUUACGCUAAUACCGCAUACGACCUACGGGUGAAAGCAGGGGAUCUUCGGACCUUGCGCGAUUGAAUGAGCCGAUGUCGGAUUAGCUAGUUGGCGGGGUAAAGGCCCACCAAGGCAACGAUCCGUAGCUGGUCUGAGAGGAUGAUCAGCCACACUGGAACUGAGACACGGUCCAGACUCCUACGGGAGGCAGCAGUGGGGAAUAUUGGACAAUGGGCGCAAGCCUGAUCCAGCCAUGCCGCGUGAGUGAAGAAGGCCUUCGGGUUGUAAAGCCCUUUUAUUGGGAAAGAAAAACAGCAGGUUAAUACCCCGCUGUUCUGACGGUACCCAAAGAAUAAGCACCGGCUAACUUCGUG